CCUGUGCACACACUUGGAGAAACUUACCAGAGAUGAGAAACAACCAAUUGUCUGCAUUCUCUGUUAUGUGGUUGAAGAAAGAAUAGUGUUUUGAGAGUAGCUACUUUGAACUAGCUACUUGCUAUUAUUUUAUGAGAAUAGGGCUUAUGGCCUACACCAUCAUCAUGAGUGCCCCAUCAGAUGUCCCUGAUGGAGAUUGUUGACUCUUGAGACACAACACAGCUGUAGAUAGCAUGCCUUUGAACCAGAAAAUAUUUGAGGACCUCUAGCCACUCUGGGGAAUGUGGUCUACUUCACAGCGUACAUGACUCAAGUGAGCAACUCAUCUGGAAACACCAUUAUGGAAGCAGCAAGCAGCAGCACUUAUCUGAGCAUCUUGAUUCCACAAGGUUUCAUCAAGCCGACACAGAAAAUUCACCAUGACAGAAGGCUGCCUGGAGGAAUGCAUCAGGGAGAGCAUCUUAGAGAUGAUCUGUUUUGCGCUGAUUCUGAACUCCCAUUGAAUAGCUCCUUGUCAACAGUAAAUAGCAAUUUUAGAAUUGGUUUCUGACAACAGCUGCAAUCAAACAUGGAGGGAGAGUCGCUGACACCUGUGCACACGUGACAAUCCUACCAAUCUUUCCUUCCUUCCACAAUUGUUCUCUGACUACAUCUUUUCAAGGCUCUCUU
rnacentral:lncRNA from 1 species